rnacentral:misc_RNA from 1 species
AUUUAGAGGAAGGAGAAGUCGUAACAAGGUUUCCGUAGGUGAACCUGCGGAAGGAUCAUUGUCGAGACCCGCGCGGCAGAAAGACCCGAGAACACGUUACAACACUCGGGGGACGAGGGGCGCCGACACCGUCCCCGAACCCUCCUCGCCGGUGCGUGCGGGCCUAGCCACGCGCCCCGGCAACAAACGAACCCCGGCGCGGAACGCGUCAAGGAAAGACAACGAGACGAGCAUCGUCGGGCGGCCCCGGAAACGGUGCUCGCACCGGCCGAUGCCUCGUCGUCGGUUUGAGUCUGCAAACGACUCUCGGCAACGGAUAUCUCGGCUCUCGCAUCGAUGAAGAACGUAGCGAAAUGCGAUACUUGGUGUGAAUUGCAGAAUCCCGUGAACCAUCGAGUCUUUGAACGCAAGUUGCGCCCGAAGCCGUCAGGCCGAGGGCACGUCUGCCUGGGCGUCACACAACGUCGCCCCCCAGAGCCCCGCCCAGCCCGCAGUCGGGCGAGCGGGGGCCGAGGGGGGCGGAGGAUGACCUCCCGUCCGCCCGUCGUGCGGCGGUUGGUCCAAAACAGAGUCCUCGGUCGAUUCGUCGUGGCAACAGGUUGUCGAUCAGUCGGUGCCCCGUCACGCGCGCCGGACACGCAUCGGGACUCGGACACACACCCCAACGCACCCGUCGGAGGUGCUCCCAACGCGACCCCAGGUCAGGCGGGGCUACCCGCUGAGUUUAA